UGCCGGCUUUCCAUCAGCCGGGGUACUAAAGAGGCACACCAUCAUUGCCGUAAGUGCGGUUGGGUAUGAUUCCCUCCAAUCCCAUGGCAGACAAAGCCGAAUAAUGCUCCUGGCAGGGCGUUGUUCAUAUUUGCGCCUUGAGCGUAUGCGAAUGAU
rfam:Agrobacterium sp. DSM 25559 isolate DSM25559 genome assembly, contig: DSM25559_contig6